rnacentral:snRNA from 1 species
GUGUUCCUGCUUUGACAGCCCAUAUACUACANUUGGAAGGAGACAGUGAAGACCAGCAUGGCCCCAGGGCAAGGAUGACAUGUAAAUCUGUGACGUGUCUUAUGUUUUG